CCCUUAGAUGUUCGGGGCCGCACGCGCGCUACACUGAAGGACUCAGCGUGUCUCUCCCCCUAUCCCGAAAGGGAUGGGCAACCCGUUGAACCUCCUUCGUGCUAGGGAUUGGGGUUUGCAAUUAUCCCCCAUGAACGAGGAAUUCCCAGUAAGCGCGGGUCAUCAGCUCGCGUUGAUUACGUCCCUGCCCUUUGUACACACCGCCCGUCGCUACUACCGAUUGGAUGGUUUAGUGAGACCCUCGGAUCGGUCCCGACUCGGGGUGGGCUUCUGCCCCGGUCGUGGUUUCGCCGAGAAGACGGUCAAACUUGACUAUCUAGAGGAAGUAAGAGUCGUAACA
rnacentral:rRNA from 1 species